GAGCUGUUAUUUUCACCCUUUGGGGGGUCGGGGGCUGGGAAACGGGACGGUGGGGGUGGGUCGGGUGCUGGGAAUUGGGACGGUGGGGGGUGGUGGAGAGCAAACGCACCGGCAAUCCAUGCCCGGGGAAUCUGAAGAACCUGAACCAGAGUUACCCAUUUUUCUUGAAGGAGAAGUUGCGAAACCCUUCCUUUUGAGACUAGAUUCAAA